GACGAACGCUGGCGGCGUGCCUAACACAUGCAAGUCGAACGGAAAGGCCCUACUUUUGUGUGGUGCUCGUGUGCCGAACGGGGGAGUAACACGUGAGUAACCUGCCCUUGAGGUUGGGAUAACUUCAGGAAACUGGGGCUAAUACCGGAUAGGAGCUCCUGCUGCAUGGGGGGCGUUGGUAAGUUUCGGUCGUUGGGGAUGGACUCGCGGGUUAUCAGCUUGAUGGGGAGGUAGGGGAUUACCAAGGCUUUGAGGGGUAGGCGGCCUGGACGGGUUGCCGGCCACAUUGGGCCUGCGCUAAGGCACAGCCUCGAAUGGGACGCAAGGGUGGAGAAUCUUACCCAGCGGGAGGAAGCCUGAUGCAACGCCGCCGCGUGCGGAAAACCAGGAUUCGGGUUGUAAACCGCUUUGGCCUGUGCCGAAGCGUUAGUGACGGUAACGGGUAAAGAAGCCCCGGCUAACUACGUG
rnacentral:rRNA from 1 species